AACGAACGCUGGCGGCAGGCCUAACACAUGCAAGUCGAGCGCGCCCUUCGGGGUGAGCGGCGGACGGGUGAGUAACGCGUGGGAACGUACCCUUUGCUACGGAAUAGCCUCGGGAAACUGGGAGUAAUACCGUAUGUGCCCUUCGGGGGAAAGAUUUAUCGGCAAAGGAUCGGCCCGCGUUGGAUUAGGUAGUUGGUGGGGUAAUGGCCUACCAAGCCGACGAUCCAUAGCUGGUUUGAGAGGAUGAUCAGCCACACUGGGACUGAGACACGGCCCAGACUCCUACGGGAGGCAGCAGUGGGGAAUCUUAGACAAUGGGCGCAAGCCUGAUCUAGCCAUGCCGCGUGAGCGAUGAAGGCCUUAGGGUUGUAAAGCUCUUUCAGUGGGGAAGAUAAUGACUGUACCCACAGAAGAAGCCCCGGCUAACUCCGUGCCAGCAGCCGCGGUAAAGUACAGUGU
rnacentral:rRNA from 1 species